UACGUAGGGUGCAAGCGUUGUCCGGAAUUAUUGGGCGUAAAGAGCUCGUAGGCGGUUUGUCGCGUCGAAUGUGAAAACCCGGGGCUCAACCCCGGGCCUGCAUUCGAUACGGGCAGACUAGAGUGCGGUAGGGGUGACUGGAAUUCCUGGUGUAGCGGUGGAAUGCGCAGAUAUCAGGAGGAACACCGAUGGCGAAGGCAGGUCACUGGGCCGCAACUGACGCUGAGGAGCGAAAGCAUGGGGAGCGAACAGG
rnacentral:rRNA from 1 species